CUGGGUUGUACUGGUCAUACUGGUGGCACUGGUGGUACUGGGAGCCCUGGUGGUACUGGUGGCACUGGUGGCACUGGGUUGUACUGGGCUGUACUGGUGGCACUGGUGGCACUGGGGAUACUGGUGGUGAUACUGGUGAUACUGGGAGCACUGGUGGCACUGGGAGCACUGGUUAUACUGGUGAUACUGGGAGCACUGGUGAUACUGGGAGCACUGGUGGUUCUGGUGCUGAUACUGGUGGUACUGGUGAUACUGGGAGCACUGGUGGCGCUGGGUUGUACUGGGUUGUACUGGUCAUACUGGUGGCACUGGUGGCACUGGGGAUACUGGAAGUACUGGUGAUACUGGUGGUGGUACUGGUGAUACUGGGAGCACUGGUGCUACUGGUUGCACUGGUGAUACUGGUCAUACUGGUGAUACUGGUGGUACUGGUGGCACUGGUGGCACUGGUGAUACUGGGUUCCCUGAUGAUACUGGUGGCACUGGUGGUACUGGUUGUACUGGGAGCACUGGAGGCACUGGGUUGUACUGGUCAUACUGGUGAUACUGGUGGUACUGGGAGCUCUGGAGACACUGGGAGCACUGGUGAUACUGGUCAUACUGGUGAUACUGGUGGUACUGGUGGCACUGGGUUGUACUGGGUUGUACUGGUCAUCCUGGAGGUACUGGUGAUACUGGGAGCACUGGUGGUACUGGGAGCACUGGUCAUACUGGUGGUACUGGGCCGUACUGGGUUGUACUGGUCAUACUGGUGGUGGUACUGGUGAUACUGGGAGCACUGGUGAUACUGGUGGCACUGGGCUGUACUGGGUUGUACUGGUCAUACUGGUGGCACUGGUGAUACUGGGAGCACUGGGUUGUACUGGUGGUGGUACUGGUGAUACUGGUGGUACUGGGAGCUCUGGAGACACUGGGAGCACUGGUGAUACUGGUCAUACUGGUGAUACUGGUGGUACUGGUGGCACUGGGCUGUACUGGGUUGUACUGGUCAUACUGGUGGCACUGGUGGUACUGGGAGCACUGGUGAUACUGGUGGCACUGGUGGCACUGGGAGUACUGGGCUGUACUGGGUUGUACUGGUGGCACUGGGGAUACUGGUGGUGAUACUGGUGAUACUGGGAGCCCUGGAGACACUGGGAGCACUGGUGAUACUGGUCAUACUGGUGGUACUGGUGGUACUGGGAGCACUGGAGACACUGGUGGCACUGGUGAUACUGGUGGUACUGGGAGCAGUGGGCUGUACUGGGUUGUACUGGUCAUACUGGUGGCACUGGUGGUACUGGGAGCCCUGGUGGUACUGGUGAUACUGGUGGCACUGGGUUGUACUGGGCUGUACUGGUGGCACUGGUGGCAAUGGGGAUACUGGUGGUGAUACUGGUGAUACUGGGAGCACUGGUGGCACUGGGAGCACUGGUGGUACUGGUGAUACUGGGAGCACUGGUGGUACUGGGAGCACUGGUGGUUCUGGUGCUGAUACUGGUGGUACUGGUGAUACUGGGAGCACUGGUGGCGCUGGGUUGUACUGGGUUGUACUGGUCAUACUGGAGGCACUGGUGGUACUGGGGAUACUGGGAGUACUGGUGAUACUGGUGGUGGUACUGGUGAUACUGGUGGCACUGGUGCUACUGGGUUGUACUGGGUUGUACUGGUCAUACUGGUGGUACUGGUGGCACUGGAUUGUACUGGGUUGUACUGGUCCUACUGGUGGCACUGGGGAUACUGGGAGCACUGGUGAUACUGGUGGUACUGGUGACACUGGGAGCACUGGUGGUACUGGGAGCACUGGUGAUACUGCUGACACUGGUGGUACUGGGUUGUACUGGUCAUACUGGUGGUACUGGUGAUACUGGGAGCUCUGGAGACACUGGGAGCACUGGUGAUACUGGUCAUACUGGUGGUACUGGGGAUACUGGGAGCUCUGGAGACACUGGGAGCACUGGUGGUACUGGGAGCACUGGUGGCACUGGUGAUACUGGGUUGUACUGGUCAUACUGGUGGCACUGGUGACGCUGGUGGUACUGGAAGUACUGGUGAUACUGGUGGUGGUACUGGUGAUACUGGGAGCACUGGUGCUACUGGUUGCACUGGUGAUACUGGUCAUACUGGUGAUACUGGUGGUACUGGUGGCACUGGUGGCACUGGUGAUACUGGGAGCCCUGAUGAUACUGGUGGCACUGGUGGUACUGGUUGUACUGGGAGCACUGGAGGCACUGGGUUGUACUGGUCAUACUGGUGAUACUGGUGGUACUGGGAGCUCUGGAGACACUGGGAGCACUGGUGAUAAUGGUCAUACUGGUGAUACUGGUGGUACUGGUGGCACUGGGCUGUACUGGGUUGUACUGGUGAUACUGGUGGCACUGGUGGCACUGGGCUGUACUGGGUUGUACUGGUCAUACUGGUGGCACUGGUGAUACUGGCGGUACUGGUGGCACUGGGCUGUAAUGGUGGUGUGCAGGACCCCUUCAGGCCCCGCCCCCUUCAGGCAACAUCCAAUCAGGCCACGCCCUCUCAAGCCACGCCCAUGACAGGCCCCGCCCCACUUUGCCGCAAUGUCCAAUCCGGCCCCGCCCCCCCGCGCGCUUUGGCCCCGCCCACUUUGAUUAACGCCCAAUCGCGCCCCGCCCCGAUUAUGCCCCGCCCCGCCCCUCCGUUUUGGCCCCGCCCACUUUGCGGCAGUGUCCAAUCAGGCCCCUCCCCCGAUCGGGACCAGCCCAUUAGUCCAGCCACGCCCAGUUUGCGCUAACGUCCAAUCAGGCCCCGCCCCGUUAAGCCCCCCCCCCCCGUCGGGCCACGCCCAGUUUGCAGCAACGUCCAAUCAGACACCGCUCUUUUAAGCCCCGCCCAUCUGUCCAGCCACGCCCGAUUUGCGGUAUUAUCUAAUUCGGCCCCGCCCCCCCAGCUCAGACCCCGCCCAGUUUGGGAUCUCGUCCAAUCAGACCCCACCCCUUUAAACCCUGCCCCCGCUCAGACCCCCGCCCUGUUUGAG
ensembl:lncRNA